rnacentral:rRNA from 1 species
CCUACGGGAGGCAGCAGUGGGGAAUAUUGCACAAUGGGGGAAACCCUGAUGCAGCGACGCCGCGUGAGUGAAGAAGUAAUUCGUUAUGUAAAGCUCUAUCUGCAGGGGAGCAAAUGACGGUACGUGAGUAAGAAGCCCCGGUGAACGACGUGCCAGCAACCGCUGGCAUACGUGGGGGGGAAGCGUUAACCGGAUUUACUGGGUGUAAAGGGGGGGUAGACCGGAGUGCAAGGCUGGAGUGAAAGGCGGGGGGCUAACCCCCGGACUGCUGUGGAAACUGGCCGGCUGGAGUGCAGGAGAGGAAAGUGGAAUGCGUGGUGUAGCGGUGAAAUGCAUAGAUAUCAGGAGGAACCCCGGUGGCGAAGGCAGCCUUCCGGACUCCUACUGACGUUGAGGCACGAAAGCGUGGGGAGCGAACAGGAUUAGAUACCCGAGUAGUC